GUGAAUCAUCAAAUUUUUGAACGCACAUUGCACUCUCCUCGGAGAGUAUGCCUGUUUGAAGGUCAGCCUAUAAAAAUAGCCAUCGUUGCUGUUUCGCGGUGGCGUUCGUCGGAAAUUUGGAUAUCUUAAUUCCUUUUGAUUUAAGAGACUUAAAAUUUUGUUUUGGUUCCAUGAACUUUUCUUAGAUGU
rnacentral:misc_RNA from 1 species